rnacentral:tRNA from 1 species
GGCCUUGUAGAUCAGCUGGUAGAGCGUGCGCGUGCAAAGCGUAGGCGACAUCCAUCCGUGGGUUCGAAACCCACCGAGACUA